AUGCUCACUUUGGCAGCACAUACACUAAAAAUUGAAAUGAUACACAGUUAGCAUGGCCCUAGCAUGAGGAUGACGUGCAAAAUCAGGAACAUUUCAUUUUUUAU